GACUCUGUAGCUCAGUUGGUUAGAGCGAUGCACCGGAAUUGCAGGGCCGCAGGUUCGAUUCCUGACACGGACC